UACGUAGGGGGCAAGCGUUGUCCGGAUUUAUUGGGCGUAAAGAGCGUGUAGGCGGCCAGGUAGGUCUGCUGUGAAAACUCGAGGCUCAACCUCGAGACGUCGGCGGAAACCAUCUGGCUAGAGUCCGGAAGAGGAGAGUGGAAUUCCUGGUGUAGCGGUGAAAUGCGCAGAUAUCAGGAAGAAUAUCCGUGGCGAAGGCGGCUCUCUGGGACGGUACUGACGCUGAGACGCGAAAGCGUGGGGAGCGAACAGG
rnacentral:rRNA from 1 species